rnacentral:rRNA from 1 species
AACGUAGGACGCAAGCGUUAUCCGGAGUUACUGGGCGUAAAGCGCGGGCGGGCGGUUCUGCCAGUCUGAUGUGAAAUCUCCUCGCUCAACGGGGAGCAGCCAUUGGAAACUACAGAACUGGAGUCUGGCAGAGGUAGGCGGAAUUCCGGGUGGAGUGGUGAAAUGCGUAGAGAUCCGGAGGAACACCAGAGGCGAAGGCGGCCUACUGGGCCAGUACUGACGCUGAGCCGCGAAAGCCAGGGGAGCGAACGGG